rnacentral:lncRNA from 1 species
CAGAAUUAAUUUUCUUCCUAGUAGCUGGUGGAAUGCUGUGUUUUGGCUUAGGAUGAGAGGAGUGCUGAUAACACCCCGAUGCUUUAAUUGUUGCAGAGCAGUGCUUAUACUAAGCCAAGGACAUCUCAGCCUUUUGCUCUGUCCUGCCAACGGGCAGGCUGGGGGUGCAGUAAGAGCUGGGAGGGGACAGAGCCAGGACAGGUGACCCAAACUAGCCAAAGGGGUAUUCCAUACCAUCUGACGUCAUGCUAAACAAUAUAUAGGGGUGGCUAGCUGGGGGGAGGGGGCCAGACUGCUCGGGGUGAGGCUGGGCAUCGGUCAGCGGGUGGUGAGCAAUUGCAUUGUGCAUCACUUGUUUGUACAUACUAUUACUUUCGUAUUAUCACCAUUGUAUCAUUAUUAUUAUUAUUGUUAUUAUUAUUUUUGUUAUUAUUAUUUUCCUGUCUUAUUAAACUGUCUUUAUCUCAACUCACAGGCUUCACUCUCCAUUUCCCUCCCCCGUCCCAGAGAGGGAGGGGGGAGGGUGAGCGAACGGCUGCGUGGUGUUUAGCUGCCGGCCGGGUUAAACCACGACAGCAUGGCAAGUGCUGCAUGGGAGGGCAAGCCUGCUGGGGAUGGCCAAGUCUUGCGCUGGGCAGCCUGCUUGGCUCCAAAGCCUGCAGUCCUCCCCAAGAUGUCAGCGAGGGGCUGGUCAGCCAUUGGGAUGGAACCGCCGUUGCGCGGGUUCCCCAAGCAACCGCCCCACACUCUCCAGCCACCAUGGCAGGUCCAGCAGCCGGCUCCCGCUCCUCCCGGGGCUGCGGCCCUGCUGGCGAGCCCAGCGCCCCAGAGCUCAGCCCAGCGCCCUUUUUCCCACAGAGGGUUUCCCCAGACGGCUUCUGCGGGUCGCGCAGACGCAAAACUCCCCCUUCGUCGUUGCAGCCGUGCCGCCAACGGUGGCUGCCUGGCCCCUGCCCGCAAGAGAACCCUGCCCCAGCCUCCCUUGGCUCCCCUCAAGAGGCCCCCCGACCCUGACUGGCUCCCUGCCCGCAGGAGACCCCUGCCCAAGCCUCCCUCGGCUCCCGUCCAGAGCCCCCCCGACCCUGACUUCCUCACUGCCCUCAGGAGAGCCCUGCCCAAGCCUCGCUUGAGUCCCCUCCAGAGCCUCCCCGACCCUGCCCGCAGGAGACCCCUGCCCCAGCCUCCCUUGGCUCCCCUCAAGAGGACUCAACUUCUCCCAGCCCUGAGGAGAGCCCUGCCCAGUCCCCUUCGCAGUCCCCUUCAGAGCCCCCCGCCUGCCCCUGCGCCCACCGGCACCAAGUGGGGGACCAAGCGCCCCGCGCCCACCGGCACCCCCAGCACAGCGCAGAGCUCCCAGCACAGGAGGCCAACGACAGACAAGACCCCUGGCAAGGAGAAGACGCUGCUGCUGGUCCAGGCUGGCCAAGGCCCCAAGACGCUGCGCCAGGGUAAGACAGGUGGCCACAGCUCGCUGGCUGGCAGCAGCAGCAUCCAGAGCGGGAGCGCCUGAAGAAGUUGGCCCAGGAGGAGCGGCAGCAGGAGGCCCACCAGAUGAAGAUCGGCCCCGUGAAAUUCUUCGUGCAGCGGCAGAAGGACCACACCAUAGCCUACUAUUACGGCUACCCGUGACCGACCUCAGGCUUCUCCUCAACGGCCUCCGCAGCACCCAGGCCCUCUCAGCACGCAAGCACAGAGACCUCUGCAGGCACCUGCUCCAGCUUCAGCCACGCUCCUCAGCCCUUGCCCCUCUCGCUUGCCCUCUCCCCUCUUUCGUGCUGGACCUACGCACUGCUUGCCACUC